rnacentral:lncRNA from 1 species
GGAGACUGCGGCCCAAGUUAGGAUUAGGACAGCGGUUUUUCAGUCCGGAGAUUCCGGCCACAACUAUUUUUGUCUGUUUUUAUCGUAAGCCAGAGUCUUUGGGUGCAGCUCUGGGACACCUAAAGGGCCUGGAGAAAUUCAGGCGGGGCCAGUGCUGUGGGGGUAGAUGUUAGACGUGGAAGGGACCCUAGAGAGCCUUGACUGUGAGGACUGAGGUAAAGUGACUUGCUCAAGGUCACAUACUAAGUCAAUGGCAGAACUGAGACUAAUAGCCUCUUACCUUGAGUCAUGUGCGUUUUCCCACUACACUCAGCGUUUUAAAUGUCAUUUUUCAAGUUUCAUUUUGAAUCUAUCUCCAGCUUACAAAAAGGUUGCAAGUAUAGUACAAAGAACUUUUUUUCCCUGAAUUGAGAUUUAAAUUGCUGACACCAUGCCACAUUGUCCCUAAGCACCUUCUACAUAAUCACAAUAUAACCAUCAAAAUCAAAACAUUUACAUAACUCGGCGUUUUACCAAUUGUCCCAAUAAUAUUGUUUAUGGUAAAAGAUUCCGUUCAGAAUCAGGCAUUGUAUUUACUUAUCAUGUAUCUUUCCUACUCUUCAAACUGGAACUCUCAGUCUUGCCUUGCCUUUCAUAUUCUUGACGCUGUUAAAGAUUCCUGGCCAGUUAUUUUUGUAGAAUGGCCUUCAUUUUGGGUCUGUCUGAUAUUUACUCAUGAUUACAUUUAGCUAGGUAUGACAGGACUCUAGAAGUGUUGCUGCUUUCUUCUCAUGGCACCCUAUCAGGUGGCACGAUUUUAACUUCUCUCAUUACAGAUGUUUACUUUAAUAAGGUGAUGUCUGUUAGGCUUGUCCAGUGUGGUUACUUUUUUCCCCCCUUUGUAAAUUAAUAAG